rnacentral:rRNA from 1 species
UACAGAGGUCUCAAGCGUUGUUCGGAUUCAUUGGGCGUAAAGGGUGUGUAGGUGGCGCUGUAAGUCGGGUGUGAAAUUUCGGAGCUUAACUCCGAAACUGCAUUCGAUACUGCGGUGCUUGAGGACUGGAGAGGAGACUGGAAUUUACGGUGUAGCGGUGAAAUGCGUAGAUAUCGUAAGGAAGACCAGUGGCGAAGGCGGGUCUCUGGACAGUUCCUGACGCUGAGGCGCGAAAGCCAGGGGAGCGAACGGG